rnacentral:rRNA from 1 species
UACGUAGGCAGCGAGCGUUGUUCGGAGUUACUGGGCGUAAAGCGCGCGCAGGCGGUCCUUUAAGUCUGAUGUGAAAGCCCACGGCUCAACCGCAGACGGUCGUGGGAAACUGGAGGGCUAGAGUGCGGGAGAGGAGAGUGGAAUUCCCGGUGUAGCGGUGAAAUGCGCAGAUAUCGGGAAGAACACCCGUGGCGAAGGCGGCUCUCUGGAACGCAACUGACGCUGAGACGCGAAAGCGUGGGGAGCAAACAGG